UUUCCUGCACGAGUCCAGGAAGAAGCACAGUCGGUAACAACAUUUUGAAUAACUAUAUUCUGUAUAAAUAUUUGCCAUGAUGGAUUUUUAAAUGCUUACCUGUAGAACAACACAUAGGCCUCUGCAUUCUGCACCACUGUCUCAUGGACCUCUGUGACAUACUGGUCAUCAAACUCAUACCACUGGCCAUUGAUCACAUUCUGACAGUAAGCUAUAUAGUGUCCACCUGCAGCACCACAAAAAGGUGCCGUGGUGACAAAUCACUGACAGCAGAUCGUAAGUGGUGACUUGGGAUGGACUCUCUUUAGCCAGGAAAGGUCGCAUGUCGAGGCCUUCCAACGGGAAGGAUACGUGGCUGCUAAUCUUGAACGAAUACAUGACCUCGUGCCGGAAGCGUUUCAGGAACCCCCUCAUCGGCUGCUGUAUCCACAUCAGCGUCUUCAUCCAUCUCUUGCGAGCCUCCUCGGAGGGGAGAGCCAGACACUCUCCUUUCCUUCAGCCUCUCCUUUUCUGAGAUCACCCCCCCGGUACUGACGCCCACUAUCCCCCCUGCCGCAGACCUGACCCCGUCACACUCAUCCUGCAGUAGGAGCUCGCCAUCACCCACUCCUCCCCCCUCCCCACGGUCACUGCUGGAGCCAGAGUCGCAGGAUAAGAAUUCAUCCUCAGAUGGGGAACGAUCUCCAUCUCUUAUCUCCUCCCCAUCACUUCCCUCCCCACUCAUGCUACACUCUGUCAGAGGCUCCUUCAGCUCUUCGUGUAAUUGGUCCAUCAGACAGCGCAGGAACUCUUGAGUGUCCUGUAGCAAGAAAAGCACAUAGCAUUCACCCAAAACGAAUGUGCAUGAGUGUGUCUACAUGUACAUAAACACACACAGGAGUUUUGCAAGAUGGCUAUUUUAAAACAAGAAGAUAGACAGAGUAAUGUGUGAGUAAAGUAUGUCUUGUUCAACAACAAAAACAUGUUCUACAUUGGUAAGAAGUGGUACAAGGAGGACCUAAUCACACCUACUGAAGACAGGUAAAACUCAUUAUUUAAAAACACUUUUUGACUUAUCAGUCAAACAAAACCAGACACUUCAAAUCAAACAUGUAAUAGGCCUGAGUAAAACAUGAAACCAUUUUUAAACAUCAUUAUUUUUAAACAUAUAUUUGUUGUACAAAGAAUCAGACAAACUCCAAGGUUUCAUUUGAGUCGUUUGUGUAUUUCAAGAAAUAAUUCAGUUUUUCUUCCUUCCACAGAGUCCGACCAAGUUGCAGAUGCAUUUGUAACUAUUCUGCAUGCAAAUUAAAGGUAUGUCGAGACAUAAGUUUAGCUUAACUUGGCUCGAAUUCUAGACAUCUAUUGGAUCAAGAAGCCUCGCUAAAGUUAAAAGAAUAGUUUGACAUUUUGGGAAAGUCACUAAUUUGCUUUCUUGCCUGAGAGUAAGAUGAGAAGGUCAAUACCACUCACAUUUUUGUGCGCAAAAAGUAGAGCUACAGGCAGUAGACGGUUAGCUUAGCUUAGAUGUUUCCUUCUACUGCGCUAAAUUGGGCUAACUACUCUCUGCAAGAAAGCAAAAAGCACUGUUGAACUACUGUUUUAAGAAACAAACCAAUAAACCUCUCUAAGAAUGGAAAAAAACACAAGUACAUAUUGUAGUUUAUCUAAUUAUAAGUUGCUAACGUCAUGAAUACUAAAGAAAUUAGGUCAUAUUUAUCGUUCUGUUUUACAGAACAAUUUGUCUGGUUCUGGGGAUGUAAGCAAAAUACUAAAAUUCUCC